AACGCUGGAUGCCCGCUGUUGGCUCAUUAGAGUCAGCGGCCAAGCGAAAGCAUUAAGCAUCCCACCUGGGGAGUACGCCGGCAACGGUGAAACUCAAAGGAAUUGACGGGGGCCCGCACAAGCGGAGGAACAUGUGGUUUAAUUCGAUGAUACGCGAGGAACCUUACCCGGGCUUGAAUUGCAGACGCACGCGGCAGAGAUGCCAAGGCCCUUCGGGGCGUCUGUGAAGGUGCUGCAUGGCUGUCGUCAG
rnacentral:rRNA from 1 species